rnacentral:rRNA from 1 species
CAAUAGCGUAUAUUCAAGUUGUUGCGGUUGAAAAGCUCGUAGUUGGGUUUCUGCUGAGGACGAUCGGUCCGCCCACUGGGUGAGUAUCUGGCUCGGCCUUGGCAUCUUCUUGGAGAACGUUGCUGCACUUGACUGUGUGGUACGGUAUCCAGGACUUUUACUUUGAGGAAAUUAGAGUGUUUCAAGCAGGCGCACGCCUUGAAUACAUUAGCAUGGAAUAAUAAGAUAGGACCUUGGUUCUAUUUUGUUGGUUUCUAGAGCUGAGGUAAUGAUUAAUAGGGAUAGUUGGGGGCAUUCGUAUUUCAUUUUUCAGAGGUGAAAUUCUUAGAUUUGUUAAAGACGGACUACUGCGAAAGCAUUAGCCAAGGAUGUUUUCAUUGA